UGUGUAGGCGGCCAUGCAAGUCGGAUGUGAAAUCCCCGGGCUCAACCCGGGAAGUGCACCCGAAACUGCAUGGCUUGAGUACCGGAGAGGUUGGUGGAAUUCUCGGUGUAGAGGUGAAAUUCGUAGAUAUCGAGAGGAACACCGGUGGCGAAGGCGGCCAACUGGACGAGUACUGACGCUGAGACACGAAAGCGUGGGGAGCAAACAGGAUUAGAUACCCUGGUAGUCCACGCCGUAAACGAUGGGUGCUAGAUGUCACGGGCUUUGACUCCUGUGGUGCCGUAGCCAACGCAUUAAGCACCCCGCCUGGGAAGUACGGCCGCAAGGCUAAA
rnacentral:rRNA from 1 species